rnacentral:rRNA from 1 species
AGAGUUUGAUCCUGGCUCAGGAUGAACGCUGGCGGCGUGCUUAACACAUGCAAGUCGAACGAAGCAAUAGGAAGGAAGUUUUCGGAUGGAAUUCAUAUUGACUGAGUGGCGGACGGGUGAGUAACGCGUGGGUAACCUGCCUCAUACAGGGGGAUAACAGUUAGAAAUGACUGCUAAUACCGCAUAAGCACACAGAAUCGCAUGAUUCGGUGUGAAAAACUCCGGUGGUAUGAGAUGGACCCGCGUCUGAUUAGCUAGUUGGUGGGGUAAAGGCCUACCAAGGCGACGAUCAGUAGCCGACCUGAGAGGGUGAUCGGCCACAUUGGGACUGAGACACGGCCCAAACUCCUACGGGAGGCAGCAGUGGGGAAUAUUGCACAAUGGGGGAAACCCUGAUGCAGCAACGCCGCGUGAGUGAAGAAGUAUUUCGAUAUGUAAAGCUCUAUCAGCAGGGAAGAAGAUGACGGUACCUGAUUAAGAAGCCCCGGCUAACUACGUGCCAGCAGCCGCGGUAAUACGUAGGUGGCAAGCGUUGUCCGGAUUUAUUAGGCGUAAAGCGAGUGCAGGCGGUUCAAUAAGUCUGAUGUGAAAGCCUUCGGCUCAACCGGAGAAUUGCAUCAGAAACUGUUGAACUUGAGUGCAGAAGAGGAGAGUGGAACUCCAUGUGUAGCGGUGGAAUGCGUAGAUAUAUGGAAGAACACCAGUGGCGAAGGCGGCUCUCUGGUCUGCAACUGACGCUGAGGCUCGAAAGCAUGGGUAGCGAACAGGAUUAGAUACCCUGGUAGUCCAUGCCGUAAACGAUGAGUGCUAAGUGUUGGGAGGUUUCCGCCUCUCAGUGCUGCAGCUAACGCAUUAAGCACUCCGCCUGGGGAGUACGACCGCAAGGUUGAAACUCAAAGGAAUUGACGGGGGCCCGCACAAGCGGUGGAGCAUGUGGUUUAAUUCGAAGCAACGCGAAGAACCUUACCAGGUCUUGACAUCCAGUGCAAACCUAAGAGAUUAGGUGUUCCCUUCGGGGACGCUGAGACAGGUGGUGCAUGGCUGUCGUCAGCUCGUGUCGUGAGAUGUUGGGUUAAGUCCCGCAACGAGCGCAACCCUUGUCAUUAGUUGCCAUCAUUAAGUUGGGCACUCUAAUGAGACUGCCGGUGACAAACCGGAGGAAGGUGGGGAUGACGUCAAGUCAUCAUGCCCCUUAUGACCUGGGCUACACACGUGCUACAAUGGACGGUACAACGAGAAGCGAACCUGCGAAGGCAAGCGGAUCUCUUAAAGCCGUUCUCAGUUCGGACUGUAGGCUGCAACUCGCCUACACGAAGCUGGAAUCGCUAGUAAUCGCGGAUCAGCACGCCGCGGUGAAUACGUUCCCGGGCCUUGCACACACAGCCCGUCA